AGAGUUUGAUCCUGGCUCAGGACGAACGCUGGCGGCGUGCUUAACACAUGCAAGUCGAACGGGAUGAUUUAAGAGCUUGCUCUUGGAGAAUCUAGUGGCAAACGGGUGAGUAACACGUAGACAACCUGCCGACAGGAUGGGGACAACAUUCCGAAAGGAAUGCUAAUACCGAAUGAAGCGCAGGGGAGGCAUCUCCCCUGCGUGAAAGAUGGCCUCUAUUUAUAAGCUAUCACCUGUCGAUGGGUCUGCGUCUGAUUAGCUGGUUGGUGAGGUAACGGCUCACCAAGGCGACGAUCAGUAGCCGGUCUGAGAGGAUGAACGGCCACAUUGGGACUGAGACACGGCCCAGACUCCUACGGGAGGCAGCAGUGGGGAAUCUUCCGCAAUGGGCGCAAGCCUGACGGAGCAACGCCGCGUGAGUGAAGAAGGUCUUCGGAUCGUAAAGCUCUGUUGACGGAGACGAACGUGCGAAGGGUGAAUAAUCCUUUGCAAUGACGGUACCUGUCGAGGAAGCCACGGCUAACUACGUGCCAGCAGCCGCGGU
rnacentral:rRNA from 1 species